UACGUAGGGUGCAAGCGUUGUCCGGAAUUAUUGGGCGUAAAGAGCUCGUAGGCGGUUUGUUGCGUCGGCUGUGAAAUCCCGAGGCUCAACCUCGGGUCUGCAGUCGAUACGAGCAAACUAGAGUGUUGCAGGGGAGACUGGAAUUCCUGGUGUAGCGGUGAAAUGCGUAGAUAUCGGGAGGAAUACCUAUGGCGAAAGCAGGCUUCUGGGCUAUCACUGACGCUGAUCUGCGAAAGCUAGGGGAGCAAACAGG
rnacentral:rRNA from 1 species